CCUACGGGUGGCUGCAGUGGGGAAUAUUGCACAAUGGGCGCAAGCCUGAUGCAGCCAUGCCGCGUGUGUGAAGAAGGCCUUCGGGUUGUAAAGCACUUUCAGCGGGGAGGAAGGCGGUGAGGUUAAUAACCUCAUCGAUUGACGUUACCCGCAGAAGAAGCACCGGCUAACUCCGUGCCAGCAGCCGCGGUAAUACGGAGGGUGCAAGCGUUAAUCGGAAUUACUGGGCGUAAAGCGCACGCAGGCGGUCUGUCAAGUCGGAUGUGAAAUCCCCGGGCUCAACCUGGGAACUGCAUUCGAAACUGGGCGGCUUAGGUCCUGGUGAGGGGGGUAGAAAUCCCGGUGUAGGGGGGAAAUGCGGUAAGAUCCGGAGGAAUAACGGUGGCGAAGGCGGCCCCCUGGACAAAGACUGACGCUCAGGUGCGAAAGCGUGGGGAGCAAACAGGAUUAGAUACCCGAGUAGUC
rnacentral:rRNA from 1 species